AAAAUAAAGCCCACAUUAUUGCUUGCCUCUUCUCUUCCUUAUCUUCUCUUGAAGCUCGCGCCCUCUUCACGAGCACUUCCUCUUACUACUCUCUGCUCUAUCUCACAACUCCCAAACAACAAAAAAAAUAUUCAAAAUUAAAAAAAAGAAACAAAUCAGUCCCCAAAAAUCUGAUAGUUGAUGCAAAAACCAAGCAGAAAAAUCAGACCUUUUUCUUCAUCAAACUCCUCCAUUCAUCAUCCAGCUUUCUUGAAAUCCAAUUCCUUGUCAAAAUCCAGCACUUGUCACAAACACCCAAUAAUCUGAAAAAAAAAUCCCAAAAAAGAAAAAAGUAAAAAGAAAAACCCCAUUAGAGAAAAUCCCAAGAAAAUGAAGAGAGAUCGUGAUAGAGAAAAUUCCCAAGAUGGUUCUUCUUCUAGUAAAUCCAAGAUUUUUGAAGAAGAACAACCAGAUGCUGGAAUGGAUGAGCUUUUAGCUGUUUUAGGUUAUAAAGUUAAAUCUUCAGAUCUGGCUGAAGUUGCACAACAACUUGAACAACUUGAGAUGGCUAUGUGUACAACAUUAGAAGAUGGAAUUUCUCAUCUUUCUACUGAUACAGUUCAUAAAAAUCCUUCUGAUCUUUCUGGUUGGGUACAAAGCAUGUUAUCUGAGCUCAAUAAUACUUCAGUUCCCUCUAAUUUUGACAUGAUUGGUAGUAUUGAAGAAAAAGAUUUAGGUGAAUCUUCUAGUAAUAUUGUUAUCAAUGAGCAAAACAGAAUUAUUUCUGAUGAUGAUUUGAGAGCAAUUCCAGGUGGAGCUGUGUUUGCAACAGAGAGUAAUAAAAGACAGAGAUCUUGUGUUCCACUAACAACAGAUGCAACAACAAGGCCAGUUGUACUUGUAGAUUCACAAGAAACUGGUGUUCGACUUGUGCACACAUUAAUGGCGUGUGCUGAAGCUGUCCAACAAGAGAAUUUUAAUGUAGCUGAUGCGCUUGUUAGACACAUUGGAAUUCUUGCUGUUUCACAAUCUGGUGCUAUGAGAAAAGUUGCUACUUAUUUUGCUGAAGCAUUAGCUCGACGAAUCUAUAAAAUUUACCCACAAGAUUCAAUUGAAUCAUCUUAUACUGAUGUGUUACAGAUGCACUUUUACGAAACUUGUCCAUAUCUCAAAUUUGCUCAUUUCACUGCAAAUCAAGCAAUUCUUGAAGCUUUUACUAAUUGCAAUAAAGUCCAUGUGAUUGAUUUCAGUUUAAAACAAGGUAUGCAAUGGCCAGCAUUAAUUCAAGCUUUAGCUUUACGUCCAGGUGGACCGCCAGCAUUUAGGCUUACUGGAAUUGGACCUCCACAGCCUGAUAAUACUGACGCUUUGCAACAAGUUGGGUGGAAGUUAGCGCAAUUAGCUGAAACUAUUGGGGUCGAAUUUGAAUUUCGAGGAUUUGUAACAAACUCAUUAGCUGAUCUUGAUGCUGAGAUUCUUGAUUUAAGGUCAAGUACUGAAACAGAAGUGGUGGCUGUUAAUUCAGUUUUUGAGCUACAUAGAUUAUUAGCAAGACCUGGGGCUGUAGAAAAAGUGUUGAAUUCGAUCAAACAAAUGAACCCGAAAAUCGUGACGAUUNGGACAGGUUUAACGAGGCAUUACAUUAUUAUUCAACAAUGUUUGAUUCGUUAGAGAGUUCAGUAUCAACAUCAUCCACUGGGUUGACUCAGCCGAUUGUUAACAGUCAAGAUUUGGUUAUGUCUGAGGUGUAUUUAGGGAGACAGAUAUGUAACGUGGUGGCUUGUGAAGGUGUGGACCGAGUUGAGCGACACGAGACGCUGAGUCAGUGGCGAGUUAGGAUGAACUCGGCCGGGUUCAAUCCGGUUCAUCUCGGUUCGAAUGCGUUUAAGCAGGCUAGUAUGCUGUUGGCGUUGUUUGCGGGCGGCGAUGGUUACAGAGUUGAAGAGAACGAUGGGUGUCUUAUGUUGGGUUGGCAUACUCGGCCACUCAUCGCCACCUCCGCGUGGGGGCUCAAGGCGGCUGUUGACGCCGAGUGGUAGUGAGUCAACUCAGUGAGGAAACUUAGUCAACUCGGGUACCCCACCCCCCUUUUCCCUCCCCUCACAUGGUGAAUUAUCAGUGAUGUUGAUGAGCGUGGGUGGGUGGGUGGUGAUUGUAAUGUGAGGGACAAUGAGAGAGACGUGCCCAAAAAUGAGUCGAAUCAUGUCUUUUACCUUUUAACCUCUUUAUAAACCAGCAUUUUUUUUUUUUUUACUUUUUUACUUUUAACCACUUUAUAUUUUGUUGUAUGUAGUAGUAGUAUUUAUUGUUUUUCUUUUCUUUUUUGCCUUUUGUGGGUCUGGUUAGAUUUCCCCCUUUUUACUUGGCCGCAAUAAAAAGGCAAGAGCAUGA